GACGAACGCUGGCGGCGUGCCUAAUACAUGCAAGUCGAGCGAACAGAUGAGAAGCUUGCUUCUCUGAUGUUAGCGGCGGACGGGUGAGUAACACGUGGGUAACCUACCUAUAAGACUGGGAUAACUCCGGGAAACCGGGGCUAAUACCGGAUAAUAUUUUGAACCGCAUGGUUCAAUAGUGACAGACGGUUUCGGCUGUCACUUAUAGAUGGACCCGCGCCGUAUUAGCUAGUUGGUAAGGUAACGGCUUACCAAGGCGACGAUACGUAGCCGACCUGAGAGGGUGAUCGGCCACACUGGAACUGAGACACGGUCCAGACUCCUACGGGAGGCAGCAGUAGGGAAUCUUCCGCAAUGGGCGAAAGCCUGACGGAGCAACGCCGCGUGAGUGAUGAAGGUCUUCGGAUCGUAAAACUCUGUUGUUAGGGAAGAACAAAUUUGUUAGUAACUGAACAAGUCUUGACGGUACCUAACCAGAAAGCCACGGCUAACUACGUGCCAGCCGCCGCAGUAA
rnacentral:rRNA from 1 species